rnacentral:misc_RNA from 1 species
AAGACUAUAGACCUGCGGAGUACCUGCGGAGGGAUCAUUACCGAGUUUACUCAACUCCCAACCAUUGUGAACAUACACUGUUGCUUCGGCGGACAGACCCUUGGGUCUGCCGCCGAGGGACCUAAACUCUUGUUUUCCAGUGGAUCUUCUGAGUGAUUUACACAAUAAAUCAAAACUUUUAACAAUGGAUCUCU